CCUACGGGGGGCAGCAGUGGGGAAUAUUGGACAAUGGGCGAAAGCCUGAUCCAGCCAUGCCGCGUGUGUGAAGAAGGCCUUCGGGUUGUAAAGCACUUUCAGUGGGGAAGAAAGCCUUGGGGCUAAUACCCUCGAGGAAGGACAUCACCCACAGAAGAAGCACCGGCUAACUCCGUGCCAGCAGCCGCGGUAAUACGGAGGGUGCGAGCGUUAAUCGGAAUUACUGGGCGUAAAGCGCGCGUAGGCGGUCUGAUAAGCCGGUUGUGAAAGCCCCGGGCUCAACCUGGGAACGGCAUCCGGAACUGUCAGGCUAGAGUGAAGGAGAGGAAGGUAGAAUUCCCGGUGUAGCGGUGAAAUGCGUAGAGAUCGGGAGGAAUACCAGUGGCGAAGGCGGCCUGCUGGACUGACACUGACGCUGAGGUGCGAAAGCGUGGGUAGCAAACAGGAUUAGAUACCCUGGUAGUC
rnacentral:rRNA from 1 species